UCUCUCUGCCACAUAGCCGAGGUCGAGCCGUCCCUCUCCUUGUUCAGGCAUUUUUACACCUUCAAACGCCAUCCUUCGGCGAAGGACUGGUGGUACUUCUCCCCCCAGUUUGGCAAGAAGGGGUUGCUGAAGGGUGCCCCUUCUUCGAUUCACAAUUGGAAGGAGAAAUUUCUCUUUGUCUACUGCCCGACCCUGGAACUGGGCCUGCCCCCUUGGGGGUCUCUGAGGGAUUCCGUCCGCCGGGCUCCC
rnacentral:lncRNA from 1 species